GCCUGGGUGGCUCAGUCGGUUGAGCGUCCGACUUCAGCUCAGGUCAUGAUCUCACAGUCCGUGAGUUCGAGCCCCGCGUCAGGCU
rfam:Felis catus isolate Cinnamon breed Abyssinian chromosome B2, whole genome shotgun sequence.